rnacentral:rRNA from 1 species
GACAGAGGGGGCAAGCGUUGCUCGGAAUUACUGGGCGUAAAGCGCACGUAGGCGGAUGUGUCAGUCAGGGGUGAAAUCCCGGAGCUCAACUUCGGAACUGCCUUUGAUACAGCACGUCUUGAGUCCGGAAGAGGUGGGUGGAAUUCCUAGUGUAGAGGUGAAAUUCGUAGAUAUUAGGAAGAACACCGGUGGCGAAGGCGGCCCACUGGUCCGGUACUGACGCUGAGGUGCGAAAGCGUGGGGAGCAAACAGG